rnacentral:rRNA from 1 species
GAUGAACGCUGGCGGCGUGCCUAAUACAUGCAAGUCGAGCGAACGGACGAGAAGCUUGCUUCUCUGAUGUUAGCGGCGGACGGGUGAGUAACACGUGGAUAACCUACCUAUAAGACUGGGAUAACUUCGGGAAACAGGAGAUAAUACCAGAUAAUAUUUUGAACCGCAUGGUUCAAAAGUGAAAGACGGUCUUGUUGUCACUUAUAGAUGGAUCCGCGCUGCAUUAGCUAGUUGGUAAGGUAACGGCUUACCAAGGCAACGAUGCAUAGCCGACCUGAGAGCGUGAUCGGCCACACUGGAACUGAGACACGGUCCAGACUCCUACGGGAGGCAGCAGUAGGGAAUCUUCCGCAAUGGGCGAAAGCCUGACGGAGCAACGCCGCGUGAGUGAUGAAGGUCUUCGGAUCGUAAAACUCUGUUAUUAGGGAAGAACAUAUGUGUAAGUAACUGUGCACAUCUGGACGGUACCUAAUCAGAAAGCCACGGCUAACUACGU